UACAAUUUAUGUAGCUAGAUAAUAUAUUUAUAGAAUUGUGUGUAAAUUUAUUUUAAAAUUAAAUAUAUUUGUAUAAUAUUUCUAGGGUUUUGUCAAACGUAAUGUAGCAACAGCUGUGCCGCAUAUAAACUCGAGUCCAGUGAGGGACAGCAGUGAGCACAAGUGCAGUGCAAUGGCUUUAUUGAAAUAAUUAUGAUUUCAGUCACCAAAAACAGCAACGGGAGAAUAAUGUCGUUGUUGGAGUCUGAGGUUGUCUCUGUUCUGGAGACACUCGUUAAGGCAACGGUUAAUGAAAUGACGAAAGUUAUGGACUCUUCAGGCAAACCUCCACAAAUUAAAGAAGACAAGUCACCCACCCUGGACUUUAAAGUAAGUGUACAAGAAGUGCACGAAAUGACCGGCGUUUGUUUUUAAACCAUAGUUUACAACCUGAAGGAUUUAAUUGAAAUAUAAUAAAAUGUGUUUAGUGAAUAUACAAGCAUCUCUGAGGCUGAGAGUCACAGAUAAAGUGAUCAUUUAAAUGUAAUAUUUACCAUUUUGUAACCCUGUUAAAAAUGGCCACAUUCCUUAAAAUUGUGGCACCCAUUUCAUUCAAAAUCAUUUCAUUCCAGUUUCUCAGUUUGUUUACAAAUUGACUGCAUUACUCUAGCUCAGACAUUGGAUAACAAUCCUGUUAUCAAAAUUAUUGUUAGAAAACUUUAUCCUGUCAGGUCUUGUAGCUAAUCCGUAUUGAAUGCCAUCUUAAUUUAGGCUAAUUUUUAAUUGAUUUGUGCCUGUAUUUCAGACCCAGCUGAACUCUGUGUUAACACGUAACGCAAAUGAAGCUAUGGAGAAAAUGUGCCAGCUUUUCUCUGCACUUCUGCACCAUGAAAUGAUUCAGAGUGCACAGGAUGACUUGAAAACAAGACUGUACAAGGAGAGACUAAUCUAACCAGCAGUCCACUGACCAACUUUCUCUAGUCUCUGUGGAGAAAGGGACAGGAGGAGAUCAUUGACAUGGACCAUGUGAAAACACCCACUAAAACACAGAAGAUGGCGAUCAUUAGGGAAGAAAAGUCAGUGGAUUCUUCAGAAAACAGCAACCAUCCUCAGUUUAUAGUGUUGCAGGACAAUGAUGCUGCGGACAUCAGCUUCCCUGGACUGCAAAAUAU